rnacentral:rRNA from 1 species
UGGGGAAUUUUGGACAAUGGGGGCAACCCUGAUCCAGCCAUCCCGCGUGUGCGAUGAAGGCCUUCGGGUUGUAAAGCACUUUUGGCAGGGAAGAAACAGCCUGGGCUAAUAUCCCGGGCGACUGACGGUACCUGCAGAAUAAGCACCGGCUAACUACGUGCCAGCAGCCGCGGUAAUACGUAGGGUGCAAGCGUUAAUCGGAAUUACUGGGCGUAAAGCGUGCUCAGGCGGAUUUGUAAGUCAGAGGUGAAAUCUUACAGCUUAACUGUGAAACUGCCUUUGAUACUGCAAGCCUAGAGUAUGGAAGAGAGUGAUGGAAUAUCUGGUGUAGCAGUGAAAUGCGUAGAUAUCAGAUAGAACACCAAUGGCGAAGGCAGUCACUUGGUCCAUUACUGACGCUAAAGCACGAAAGCGUGGGUAGCAAACA